rnacentral:rRNA from 1 species
ACUCCUACGGGAGGCAGCAGUGGGGAAUUUUGGACAAUGGGCGCAAGCCUGAUCCAGCCAUGCCGCGUGCAGGAUGAAGGCCUUCGGGUUGUAAACCGCUUUCAGCAGGGAAGAAGCGAAAGUGACGGUACCUGCAGAAUAAGCCCCGGCUAGCUACGUGCCAGCAGCCGCGGUAAUAC